rnacentral:lncRNA from 1 species
GCAUUCAAAGUGGACCCAAAAGACUUCUCAGAAUAGAAAUAACAAUUGUGUGGUACGAAGCAAGAGACAGUUUCCAUAACAUAGAAGCCAUAUUCUAUCACAAAAACAAAUGCAAAUAGUUAUCCAUUGUUUGCUUAUUUAAAGCACAUAAUUUUAUGCAUGUCAUGUCAUGUCAACUUGAAGAUUUAGUUGUUGUUGUCGG